AGGCCAGCAGUGUGUAUGAGAUCCACUGUGAUCGCACCCGGCACACGCUCACCAUCCGGGAGGUGCCCGCCAGCCUGCACGGGGCGCAGCUGAAGUUCGUGGCCAACGGCAUUGAGAGCAGCAUCCGGAUGGAGGUCCAGGCGGCCCCAGGGCUGACUGCCAACAAGCCGCCAGCCGCAGCUGCCCGGGAGGUGCUGGCUCGGCUGCACGAGGAGGCGCAGCUGCUGGCUGAGCUGUCAGAUCAGGCUGCGGCUGUGACAUGGCUGAAGGAUGGUCGCACACUGUCCCCAGGCCCCAAGUAUGAGGUGCAGGCAUCGGCCGGGCGGUGGGUGCUCCUUGUGCGAGAUGUGGCCCGGGACGAUGCAGGCCUCUACGAGUGCGUCAGCCGCGGGGGCCGCAUCGCCUACCAGCUGUCCGUGCAAGGCCUCGCGUGCUUUCUGCACAAGGACAUGGCGGGCAGCUGUGUGGAUGCCGUGGCUGGGGGCCCAGCGCAGUUUGAGUGUGAGACCUCCGAAGCCCACGUCCACGUGCACUGGUACAAGGAUGGCAUGGAGCUGGGCCACUCUGGUGAGCGCUUCUUGCAGGAGGAUGUGGGGACGCGGCACCGGCUGGUGGCAGCCACAGUCACCAGGCAGGAUGAGGGCACCUACUCCUGCCGCGUGGGCGAGGACUCUGUGGACUUCCAGCUCCGCGUCUCUGCAAAUGGUUGACAGUGUCAACUGAAAAAAAAA
rnacentral:sRNA from 1 species